AUACGGAGGGUGCAAGCGUUAUCCGGAAUCACUGGGUUUAAAGGGUGCGUAGGCGGCGCUAUAAGUCAGAUGUGAAAGCCCACCGCUUAACGGUGGAACUGCAUUUGAUACUGUAGUGCUUGAAUCAGGCUGAGGUCAGCGGAAUGUGUCAUGUAGCGGUGAAAUGCAUAGAUAUGACAUAGAACACCAAUUGCGAAGGCAGCUGGCUAGACCUGAAUUGACGCUGAGGCACGAAAGCGUGGGGAGCGAACAGGAUUAGAUACCCUAGUAGUCC
rnacentral:rRNA from 1 species